GGUGACUCUGAAUAACUGAGCGGAUCGCAUGGGCUCGCCCCGGCGACAAAUCUUUCAAGUGUCUGCCUUAUCAGGUCUCGUAGGUCGUUUAUGUGACGACUUAGCCUGUAACGGGUAACGGAGGAUCAGGGUCUGACUCCGGAGAGGGAGCCUGAGAAACGGCUACCACUUCC
rnacentral:rRNA from 1 species